rnacentral:rRNA from 1 species
AGACUCCUACGGGAGGCAGCAGUAGGGAAUAUUGGACAAUGGGCGAAAGCCUGAUCCAGCAACGCCGCGUGGAUGACGAAGCAUCUUGGUGUGUAAAAUCCUGUCAGUGGGGACGAAACGUAGAGGUAGGAAAUGACCUUUACCUGACUGUACCCGCAGAGGAAGUUCCGGCCAACUCCGUGCCAGCAGCCGCGGUAAUACGGGGGGAACGAGCGUUGUUCGGAUUUACUGGGCGUAAAGGGCACGCAGGUGGGAAAAUAAGUCAGAUGUGAAACCCCAAAGCUUAGCUCUGGGACUGCAUUUGAUACUGUUUUUCUUGAGUACGAGAGAGGAUGGCAGAAUUCUUGGUGUAGCGGUGAAAUGCGUAGAUAUCAAGAAGAAUACCGGUGGCGAAGGCGGCCAUCUGGCUCGAUACUGACGCUCAGGUGCGAAGGUCGGGGGAGCAAACAGGAUUAGAUACCCUGGUAGUCCCGACAGUAAACGAUGGGAACUAGAUGUUGGAGGUAUCGACCCCUCCAGUGCCGCAGCUAACGCAUUAAGUUCCCCGCCUGGGGAGUACGAUCGCAAGAUUGAAACUCAAAGGAAUUGACGGGGGCCCGCACAAGCAGUGGAGUAUGUGGUUUAAUUCGACGCAACGCGAAGAACCUUACCUGGGUUUGACUUGCAGGAGAAAGCAUCAGAGAUGAUGCCCCGGCUUCGGUCGCUGCUGCACAGGUGCUGCAUGGCUGUCGUCAGCUCGUGCCGUGAGGUGUUGGGUUAAGUCCCGCAACGAGCGCAACCCCUAUCCUUAGUUGCUAUUCUGUCAAAAGAGGCACCCUAAGGAGACUGCCGGUGGUAAGCCGGAGGAAGGUGGGGAUGAGGUCAAGUCAUCAUGGCCCUUACGUCCAGGGCUACACACGUACUACAAUGGUCGGUACAGAAGGCUGCAAGACCGCAAGGUGGAGCCAAUCCCGAAAACCGACCUCAGUUCAGAUUGAAGUCUGCAACUCGACUUCAUGAAGGUGGAAUUGCUAGUAAUCGCAGAUCAGCACGCUGCGGUGAAUACGUUCCCGGGCCUUGUACACACCGCCCGUCAAGCCAUGGAAGCUGGGAGUACCCGAAGCCGUUUGCCUAACCGCAAGGAGGGCGACGUCUAAGGUAAGACCGGUGACUGGGGCUAAGUCGGAACAAGGUA